UUUUUUUUUUUUUUUUAAGAUUUUAUUUAUUUAUUCAUGAGAGACACAGAGAGAGAGGAAGAGACAUAGGCAGAGGGAGAAGGCUCCAGGCAGGGAGCCCGAUGUAGGAUUUGAUCCCAGGACUCCAGGAUCACUCCGUGGGCUGAAGGCAGGCAUUAAACCGCUGAGCCUCCCAGGGAUCCCUCAAUAUUGGUUUCUUUUGAGGUGUUUUGCUGCAAAAGGGAGCUGGUUUAGUAGCAGAUAGACUAGGUAGUACCAUGUGUAUACACUCAUAGGAACAAUACAGUAGGGAAGAAAAUUAAUGACAUAGGAAAGGAAAGAAAUUAUGGCACAAAGACAUUGAAUGGAGGGAAUGGUUUUAAAAAGGAGAAUGAAUGGAGUGAUGGGCUGGCUCAGUCACGGAGCAUGAUUUGUCAUCUUGGGAGUUGUGAGUUUGAGCCCCAUGUGAGGUAUAGCAAUUACUUAAAAGUAAAAUCUUAAAACAACAAAAAACAACAUAAAAAGGAGCAUGAACAACUCAGUAGGCAAGAUGGAAAUAUAUACAUGGGUGCAGAUAGUAGUGAGUAGAUGAUGCUGUGGGAGUCAAUGGAAAUUCUCCAAUUGCUUCAACUUUCUUAAUAAAGUAGGAGGAAAGGUCAUCUGUUGACAGAAAUAAUCAUGGGUCAAAGAAAUAAAGUAUGCUUGUCAGGUAGUAUUAAAUGCUUUCUUAAGGAUUCUUUUAAAGAUUUUAUUUGAGAGAGAGAGCACGAGGACAGAAGCUUAACCAACUGAGCCACCCAGGCACUCCCUUUCUUAAGGUUUUUCUUUUUUUUAAGAUUUUAUUUAUUUAUUCAAGAUUUUAUUUAUUUAUUCAGAGAGGGAGAGAGCACAAGCAAGGGGAGAGGGAGAGGUAGGCAAAAGGAGGAGAAGCAGACUCCCUGCUGAGCAGGGAACCGAAUGCAAUGCAAUGCAAUGUGAUGCGGGGCUCCAUCCCAGGACUCCGGGAUCAUGACCUGAGCCAAAGGCAGAUGCUUAACCAACUGAACCAUCCAGGUGUCCCUGUUAAGAUUCCGAUCAGGAAUUUAUAUUAUUGCAGUGAGACUGGCCAACUUACUUUUCUCCAGCUACAUUCCACUACACGGGUGCAAGUGCAGAGCACACAGACUAGCCAAGGAUGUGGCUUGUUGGCAAAUAUUCACAAGAGUGGUGGUGACUGACAAUGGAAGGAAAAGAGGACGUCAGAAUGGUGAACAAGAUGGUAGCAUCCAUUUAUUGAUGGUCACAGUGACUCCAAAUUAAUGUAUUAGGGCAGCCCUGGUGGCUUGGCGGUUUAGUGCUGCCUUCGGCUCAGGGCGUGAUCCUGGGGACCCGGGAUCGAGUCCCACGUCGGGCUCCCUGCGUGGAGCCUGCUUCUCCCUCUGCCUGUGUCUCUGCCCCUCUCUCUGUCUCUCAUGAAUAAAUAAAAUAUUAAAAAAAUUAAUGUAUUAGAGGAAAUGGCCUAGCAAGAUAAUAGGUGAUCAGAGAGAGGGAUGCAUGAAAUUCAAACUAUAGUGACUGAAAAGACUGGUAAUGACUUGGGAAUGAAUGCCCAAGGAAGGUCAAAGACCUAAUCAAUGGACUUUCACAGGAACCAAGAGGCUUGCUAGUUGGAUCAUUUGUCAAUGGUUUUCAAACUUUAGCAUGUGUCAGAAUUACCUGGAAAACCAGUGAAACCACAGAUUGCUAGAUCCUACUCCCAGAAUUUCUAGGUCCGAUUCUGAGGAUUUUCAUUUCUAAGUUUCCUGGUGAUGUUGCUGCUGCUGUGGUCCAGGGACCAUACUUUGAAAAAUACUGAUCCAUGUGUAUGUUGAAAUUGCCAAUUAUUAACAUGUAAGUAGUUUUGCAGAGUGACAGCGAGCCAAGAGAAAAAGAUUGUCAAGAAAUAAAGAACAGCUGGGGUGUCUGGGUGGCUCAGUUGGUAGAGUCCAACUCUUGGUUUUGGCUCAAGUCAUGGUCUCAGGGGUCAUGAGACUGAGCCCUAUGUCCUGUUGGUCUCUGCACUCAGCGGGGAGUCUGCUUGAAAACUGUCUCCCUCUGCCCCCCUUGCUCCCCACCUCCCUGGCUUACAUGUGCACAUUCUCUCAAAAUCUUGAAAAAAAGGGCAGCCCUGGUGGCUCAGCGGGUUUAGCGCCGCCUCCAGCUCAGGGCGUGAUCCCGGGGACCCCGGGGUCGAGUCCCACAUCGGGCUCCCUGCAUGGAGCCUCCUUCUCCCUCUGCCUGUGUCUCUGCCUCUCUCUCUCUGUGUCUCUGAAUAAAUAAAAUGUUAAAAAAAAUACUGAAAAAAAGUAAACAUUAAAAAAAUGAAAUGUUUGGUGACUAAUGAACUGCAACCAUCAGGAAUAGUGGCUAAUGUGAUGAGAUCUAAAAUUGGCUUUUAUGGGGACUGGUUGGAAAUUGUGUGGCUGAAGCAAAGGCUGGUAGCAGAAUGAGAUUAAGGCAAGGCUACAGGCAGAUCAUCAAGGGUCUUCCAUGUCAAUACUUUAAUAGUAGUGGGGUAAGCAGUUCAGUGUGGGUUCCCUGCUAAGGGGAUCUCUGGUGGAGCUGCUUUGUGGUUAUCUUGAGUGAUAACCAUACCAAUUCAUUUCUGGAAGAAAUAAAAAGUAUACUAACUAGGAAAUAUUAAGUCUCACAAAGUUAGAUGUCACUUAACAUGAGUUUAGGUAGGAUGAUAUCUGAUGGGACAAUAAAGCUUAAGUAGCUUGAUAGUAGGGCAAAAUAGAACAUUACUAUAGAAUGGAACUGUGAAAGUACAAUACAGGGAGGUUUAUGAGGCGGUCAGGCAUAAACUAUGAAGUCAGGGCAUAGACUAUGACAUGGGGUCACUAUCUGGGCCCAGUUUGGGAUGCCACUUAUUACUCAUGGGAUCAUUUAAUGUUUCUGCUUAGUACCUAUUAAAUGGGUCUAUCAUUUAUGCCACAUACCUGAGGGAAAAGUCGAGGGUGAAAUGACAUAGUGCAAGUGCUUUGAGGAUGUGAAGAAAGUAAAGUGCAUUGAGCUAUCCUCAGAAAUCAGGGUAGAAGAAACAAGGAGAGCAUGAGGUAUAUAGAACAAAGGAUUAAGUGUAGACAGUUUCACAUCCAUGUGAUCUUGAAAUGAAAGCCUUCUAAAAUGGCUCUGAUAUUUACUGACAUUCAUGUGGAAAAUUUACUUUUACAUAGUGGUUUCUUUUUCCUUAGAAAUUCUACUUUUGGGGACGCCUGGAUGGCUCAGUGGUUGAGCAUCCAUCUGCCUUUGGCUCAGGGUGUGAUCCCGGAGUUCCAGGAUGGAGUCCUGCAUUGGGCUCCCCACAGGG
rnacentral:lncRNA from 1 species